CAGUCGCCGCGGGAAUACGAAGGGUGCAAGCGUUAGUCGGAAUUACUGGGCGUAAAGCGUGCGUAGGCGGUGAGUUAAGUCUGCUGUGAAAUCCCCGGGCUCAACCUGGGAAUGGCAGUGGAUACUGGCUCGCUAGAGUGUGUCAGAGGAUGGUGGAAUUCCCGGUGUAGCGGUGAAAUGCGUAGAGAUCGGGAGGAACAUCAGUGGCGAAGGCGGACAUCUGGGACAACACUGACGCUGAGGCACGAAAGCGUGGGGAGCAAACAGGAUUAGAUACCCGCGUAGUCCCUGUCUCUUAUAC
rnacentral:rRNA from 1 species